CAGAGGAAAACAUAAGCUUGCUGUUGUGGUUUUAGAGUUUAAACUCUGGCAGACAGAGUGGAGCAAUUUCACAGGCGAUAUUGCCAUGCUGUUGUUUAAUAUUUAUCGAAACGCCACCAUUUGUUGUGUGUUGUAUGUUCCUUGUUCUCGUAGGGACUAUAUUAUGAGUAGGAAAUGACCUCUGUUCAGAAAAUGAAGCUUUAGACAAGCCAACAGGAAGGAGGAGUGAAAUUUGUAAGAGUGAAGGAAAACGGUGGUGGAGGAGCUCUAAGGGAGGCGCAGUCCCACCAGCGUUGGCUCCACCUACGUUAGAGUUGCAGAUGACCCAAAGCUGGGAGACAGAAAAGUGCACAGAAGUGAAAUUUGAAAAGAGCUUGGAAGUUCUGUACUAUUUCCAGAAUGCACCGCCUCUUUACUUGGGCCUCGAUUACGAAAUGUAUGCUGUAAAUACUGAACAUCCUAGGAAAUGACAUCAGACUCUUCUGCAAUCCCUUCCGCACACCACUCUCGGGGAUCCCACGAAGAAUCGAGACUUGCCAGCUGGAGGCGCAGUGCUGGCUGGGGCAGGAGCAGACCCAGGCCUGAUAAAGGACAGGAAUCCUGAGGGCGUGGAUACGAAGAGCAGGCCCGAGUUCCAUCAAGCAUUCAGAAACUGCUGAGGAGGAUGGAGACAGGUGGGGAGACUACACCUCAGAAAGUUGGAAUGACUGGGUUUAAGACACAUUGCUCACUGAGAACAGAAACUGGACUAGAAUCCAGAAUUUCGGAUGUACAGAGACAUGGCAUGACUACCUCAGUUCCACGUCUAUAUUCGUGUACACAGUUAUGUCUGAUGUCGCCGACAAUUAGAAUCUCCAGUUUGGGGAGACAAUGACUCCUAAAGAACACAUACAGGGGUAAUAAUCUAACUGCUGAUUCAGGAAAGGUCUCUCAGUUUUCGUGGGAGUGAAAACACCUGUGGAGAAAGGAAUGCCUACUGCUUUCCAGGGGUAGGAGACUGUGGAAUACAUUUGUUUUCAAAACUUCUGUUUGAAAAAUCUCAACCGGAACCACAACAUGAAACAAGAGAAGAUCUCCCUCAGCAUGUUUGUUCCUGUUUGUUUAAAUGAGCAUAUUCUAAGAUGUUUUGGCUACCUCGUCUGCUUGUUUCCAUGCUGAGGGACAUUCUGUCCUCUGGGAGGAGAAAGGAAAGAACAAACCUUGAGCCUGGGAAAAGUGGAAGUAAUCUCUUUCCCUAAAGCUCAUCUUGCAAAGCCAUAAAUAUGACAUGUUGUUAAUGGAGGAUAAUUAAUUCAUUCCUCAUAAAUAUCAUUCUUAUUUCACCAAUGUGGGUAUUUUCUCCAAUGUUCUCAUUUGCCCCAAAGUACAGACACCUGAUAAGAUGUGGAUCCCCUGACGCAACUAAGUCCUUGCCUCAAGAAAGCAAACAUUUUGAGAUUUACUAGGGCAAUUCACAUUGAAGGCAAAUGAUACAUUUAUCUCAACACUUGCUCCCAUCCCUCUGAAACAUUAAGACAAAUAUUUACCCAAGCCAUCAGGAAAUAUGGCUGUGACCAACACAAAAUUGAUUUUUCACAUACAUAUCAGUCUCAGAAAGGUGAGUUCCAAGAGAGUAGAUUCACAGGCACACUGGGGACUUUGGAAAAAUCUGGAAAGGAAAGCUAUUUUUUCUUAUACAGCAUUCUCGGUUUGAGGGAAGGGGGCUUUCAAACAGCAUAGUGUGUAAUUUUAAAUACAAAGUGAAAAAUCUUAAA
rnacentral:lncRNA from 1 species